rnacentral:rRNA from 1 species
UACGGAGGGUGCAAGCGUUAUCCGGAUUUAUUGGGCUUAAAGGGUCCGUAGGCGGAUCUGUAAGUCUGUGGUGAAAUCUCACAGCUUAACUGUGAAACUGCCAUUGAUACUGCAGGUCUUGAGUAAGGUAGAAGUAGCUGGAAUAAGUAGUGUAGCGGUGAAAUGCAUAGAUAUUACUUAGAACACCAAUUGCGAAGGCAGGUUACUAUGUCUUAACUGACGCUGAUGGACGAAAGCGUGGGGAGCGAACAGG